AUCCAACUGACGAGUCCCAAAUUAGAUGAAACGCGCGUCCUGGAC
rfam:Schistosoma haematobium scaffold67_21, whole genome shotgun sequence.